UACGUAGGGUGCAAGCGUUAAUCGGAAUUACUGGGCGUAAAGCGUGCGCAGGCGGUUGUGCAAGACAGAUGUGAAAUCCCCGGGCUCAACCUGGGAAUGGCAUUUGGGACUGCAAGGCUAGAGUGUGGCAGAGGAGACUGGAAUUCCCGGUGUAGCAGUGAAAUGCGUAGAUAUCGGGAGGAAUACCGAUGGCGAAGGCAGGUCUCUGGGCUGACACUGACGCUCAUGCACGAAAGCGUGGGGAGCAAACAGG
rnacentral:rRNA from 1 species